GCUUGUCUCAAAGAUUAAGCCAUGCAUGUCUAAGUAUAAGUAUUAUACAGCGAAACUGCGAAUGGCUCAUUAAAACAGUUAUGGUUUAUUUGAUAAUCGAAUUUUACAUGGAUAACCGUGGUAAUUCUAGAGCUAAUACAUGCUGUUAAGCCUGACUUCUUGAAGGGCUGUAUUUAUUAGAUAACAGACCAAUAUUCCUCGUGUCUAUUGUGGUGACUCAUAGUAACUGAUCGGAUCGCACGGGCUUGCCCGCGACAAACCAUUCAAGUUUCUGCCCCAUCAGCUUUCGAUGGUAGUGUAUUGGACUACCAUGGCUUUUACGGGUAACGGAGGAUUAGGGUUCGAUUCCGGAGAGGGAGCCUGAGAAACGGCUACCACAUCUAAGGAAGGCAGC
rnacentral:rRNA from 1 species